rnacentral:rRNA from 1 species
UUGGGGAUUUUUCCGCAAUGGGCGAAAGCCUGACGGAGCAAUGCCGCGUGGAGGAUGAAAGCCUAUGGGUUGUAAACUCCUUUUCUCAGAGAAGAAAUUUUGACGGUAUCUGAGGAAUAAGCAUCGGCUAACUCCGUGCCAGCAGCCGCGGUAAUACGGGGGAUGCAAGUGUUAUCCGGAAUAAUUGGGCGUAAAGCGUCUGUAGGUGGUUUACCAAGUCUAUUGUUAAAAAUCAGGGCUCAACCCUGAUCCGGCAACAGAAACUAGUAGACUUGAGUACGGUAGGGGCAGAGGGAAUUCUCGGUGUAGUGGUGAAAUACGUAGAUAUCGAGAAGAACACCAAUAGCGAAAGCACUCUGCUGGGCCGAAACUGACAUUGAGAGACGAAAGCUAGGGGAGCAAAAGGGAUUAGAUACCCCUGUAG